CUCAGGACGAACGCUGGCGGCGUGCUAAUACAUGCAAGUCGAACGCUUCUUUCCUCCCGAGUGCUUGCACUCAAUUGGAAAGAGGAGUGGCGGACGGGUGAGUAACACGUGGGUAACCUACCCAUCAGAGGGGGAUAACACUUGGAAACAGGUGCUAAUACCGCAUAACAGUUUAUGCCGCAUGGCAUAAGAGUGAAAGGCGCUUUCGGGUGUCGCUGAUGGAUGGACCCGCGGUGCAUUAGCUAGUUGGUGAGGUAACGGCUCACCAAGGCCACGAUGCAUAGCCGACCUGAGAGGGUGAUCGGCCACACUGGGACUGAGACACGGCCCAGACUCCUACGGGAGGCAGCAGUAGGGAAUCUUCGGCAAUGGACGAAAGUCUGACCGAGCAACGCCGCGUGAGUGAAGAAGGUUUUCGGAUCGUAAAACUCUGUUGUUAGAGAAGAACAAGGACGUUAGUAACUGAACGUCCCCUGACGGUAUCUAACCAGAAAGCCACGGCUAACUACGUGCCAGCAGCCGCGGUAAUACGUAGGUGGCAAGCGUUGUCCGGAUUUAUUGGGCGUAAAGCGAGCGCAGGCGGUUUCUUAAGUCUGAUGUGAAAGCCCCCGGCUCAACCGGGGAGGGUCAUUGGAAACUGGGAGACUUGAGUGCAGAAGAGGAGAGUGGAAUUCCAUGUGUAGCGGUGAAAUGCGUAGAUAUAUGGAGGAACACCAGUGGCGAAGGCGGCUCUCUGGUCUGUAACUGACGCUGAGGCUCGAAAGCGUGGGGAGCAAACAGGAUUAGAUACCCUGGUAGUCCACGCCGUAAACGAUGAGUGCUAAGUGUUGGAGGGUUUCCGCCCUUCAGUGCUGCAGCAAACGCAUUAAGCACUCCGCCUGGGGAGUACGACCGCAAGGUUGAAACUCAAAGGAAUUGACGGGGGCCCGCACAAGCGG
rnacentral:rRNA from 1 species